ensembl:snoRNA small nucleolar RNA SNORA5
UGCAGCUUUGUCAAAUUCAGUGUUUCCUCUUUCGUAGGUUUCACUGGCCAAAAUGGCUGCAACAGUGACUGUAGUUCAUGGGCCCCAAAUUUCCUGUUAUGAAUUAUGGGCAUAAAUAUGUACUACAGACAAAU